UUGGAAACGUUGAUAGGGAGUAGUAGGCGGUAAGCCCUUCAGAGAGUGGAACUGGUAGCGCUGAAAGGUUCCAUAGGAAGCAACCGAACGAAGUCGCCCUGGAGUUGUGAAUGUGAUGGCAGCUAUCCGUCUAUGCGGUAUAACUGACUUAGCAUUCGCCGGCCGCAGCCGUUAUCUGUUUGAGAGCCACGCGCUUUAUUUAGUUGAAGCUGCGCGGAAUGAAGGUGGUACCACGGAAGCGCAAGCCUUUCGUCCUUUGC
rnacentral:ncRNA from 1 species